GUCGGUAAAACUCGUGCCAGCCACCGCGGUUAUACGAGUUGGCCCAAGUCGAUAGCUUCCGGCGUAAAGCGUGGUUAAGGCCUAAAUUUAAACUAAAGUCGAACUCCUUCAAGCAAGUCAAAUGAUUAUCGAUAAGGAGAAGCCCACCUACGAAAGUGACUUUACUUAACCUGACCCCACGAAAGCUAAGGCACAAACUGGGAUUAGAUACCCCACUAU
rnacentral:rRNA from 1 species